rnacentral:lncRNA from 1 species
GUGUUUUGCUGAAGUUCCCUGUGUUCCUGAGGUCUUCUAGUGGAAGGAGCGUUAUUUCUCAACAUAGAACACACAGAAGACAGAAUUAACUCCAUGAUAUAGCUGCAUUACCACCCUGCUAUUCACUUCCUGACUUCAGCUCAAGUGCCUACAGGCCCUGUCCUGCUAAGCUCUGUACAAGGCCUGACAUUUGACACCCAAGACCCCAGGACUUACACAGAGGCACAAGCGGAGGCCCUGGGGAAGAGCUGGGAGGAGAAUAUCCAUCAUUUCCAGAUGUGGACAUACGAUCCAGCUUUACCUCAGGCUGUACCCAGGUUAGCUUCUAGUGACUUAUGGCUCCAUCAAUCUGCACAGAUAUGUGCUGUGCUCCUUCAAGGGAAGUAGUUCAUCUUCUAUAUGACUGCAUCUCCACCUCUUCCAAAGUUCAAAGAACUCAGGACAAUUGCUUAUUCGGAUGGGCUUCCAGUAAGUAUAGGAGAUGUUCUCCCUGCCUUCCCCUGUGAAUCAGGACUUUCUGGUGAACUUUGAUACAGACAAAAACUUUCAGUCUCCCAUCCCCUACUGAACUUGCAAAACAUGUGGUGAUGGUGAUGAAAUAUCAGGUGAGAUUUCUCAGUAUGUUCUAAGGAGCUUUGAACUGGAAAUGGAUCAAUUUAGAGUUCUUUUCUAAAGUCAAAGGAGCACAUUUUUUACGAUCCAUUUCCCAUGAACUAACAACUGUUCCCUAACCAGCAGACAGUUUACUUGUAGCUAUUUUGACUUGCAUUAUUCCACUUAAUGAAGAUAAACAUAAGUCAGACACAGGAAAGCCACAGAAUGAGUAUGAACGGGGAGUGUUCCAAGUAUUCAGCAUUUACUAGACAAAAUUGCCCAGUAAUUCUUCUUGCUUUUCACUGAGGAUAAAAAUCCCUGGAAGAUAAUAAUCAUCAUUGUUUGAACUAAUAUAGCACUUUUAUCCAGUGAUCUGAGAACACUUCCCAAACAUUAACUGCACUGAGAACAGCCCUGUGAUUAGAUUCAUAUUAUUUAAAAUACAUGUUUUACAGACAGACAAACUUGCAGGUCACCCGAGGUACCAUGACUUCCCAUGGGUCACAAAGUCAAAAGAGUACAGAGGGCUUCUGACUACCAUUUCUAUUAUUUCUGUGACUCUGCAAAGAAUACCUAAUACUGCUUACUUGAGUUCCUUAAAUUAUUCAUAUUGAAGAGACUUUUGGGAUGAAUAUAUUUUCUGCUUACGUCUACCUUUUUUUAAAAAUUGAUUCUUUUUUAGUGAUUAUUUGCAUGGCUUACACUGGGAUGUUUCAUCAUGUAAACUGUUCAUCUUUGUAAUGCUCGGGGUUUUUAACUGAUGAACGAUUAGCAACCUUGAUCAAAUGUUAUUCUUUAAUAUUUUUGAUUGGGUUAGUAUAAUAUUUUUAAGCCAGAAAAGAAAGAACAUCAAGUAUUUAAUUAAUGCAAGACUACCUUUUUGAGAAAAUCACUAUUUUUAUGGCAGGAAUAUCUUUAUCUGAACAAAACCUACUUGCCUGUGUGUUUAUAUAAAACAAAUAAUGGAGUGGCAUGAGCAUGGGUGAAAAAAAUAUUCUGGAUUAAUGUGGGUGCUCACAAAUGCUUUAAUCCACCUAUGUGGACAUGUGACAGUACAAUUAAUAACUGAUGAUGAGCAGACUUGAUGCAAUAACUGCCACCAGCAAUGAAUCAGAAAUUAUCAGAUGAGUUCUUAAAGCAAUUUAACACCUUUAUUUAAAGGCCUAUGUUUUAAGAAGUUACCUAGCCUUCCUCUGCUGCUGCUCUACUACUCAUAGGAAGUGGACUAUGAUGGUAACAUUGAAAUCUCUUGCACUGGUAACCUAAAUGGAUUGUGCUGCUCAUGAGUCUUAAAUCUGUAUCCUACAAAACCCACCAUAUUGUUAAUUUUUAAACAAAAUGAUCAACUGUUCAAUAACACAGAGGCUGGGGCAGGGGGGGGAGAGAGGAGAGGUGAGGAGCUGUCUAUGAAAGUCAUUAAUGUGGUGGACUUCAUCUCUUAGCCCUUUGUAGUAUGGCAGGAAUAAAUCCUUGAAAUUGAGCUCUGAUUAAUUAGACAAAUUUUAAGCUGGAGAUUAAAAAAGGAUGGUGAUACAGGUAAACAUUGAUUUGAGGGCCAAAGGCAUAAAAAAUGUGAUUUAGGAGAUGCAGGGAGAUAACUGUUGAUUUACAGAAACAGCAGGUACAGUACUGACCUGGAAUUUAGGGUCUCUGGGUUUUAUUCUUGAUCCUGUAAUUUUUUGCAGUCUGACCUCAAACACUUAACUUUCCCCUUUAUCCUCAAAUCUUUGGGCUAACUUGUCUGCUGAGAAUAAUCCUGUUCAGACCUUGUCCUUCCAAAAAUGCUUUUGCAAUGGCUACCUCCACAAUUUGUAUGAGUCUUGACCUGAAAUGGGACAGGCAGGUUCUUUAAAUUACAGCAGCAUACAAGAUGGGAUAAAACUAGAGUCAUUUAGUGGGGUAGGUCUCAGUGUUUUAAUUAGAAAGCUCAAAACUACCUCUUUAUUCUUUCACAUAAAGUUAGAUUUGAAGCAGAUGAUCAACAUUUAUUUAUGCAUGCGUUCAAACAAGACAACAUUUUAACUGAGAAAGCUUAAAGUUUUGUGUUUAAAAAAAAACAAAAAACAACCAAACAGCAACAAGGCUAUUUGGGAAGUGAAGUCAUCUACAGAAAACAUACCGAGACAACAAAGCAGCCUUCCUGUGUUUUUGGAUUACAGCAUGCCAUCUUUAGCAUUUAUUUCCCUAAGAGCUUGCCUUUGCUUUUUUGUUUUUUUUUUUAAUUUUAUUAACAGAUGUAUACUCCUUUCAUUGGUGUUUAUUUAAACGCCUGCCAAUAUAUCUGAAAUCAGCACAUUCUGAAUGUUGAUGCACCACCUUGCCUAAUUGACUUAGCUGGAAAAUAAACAGUGAAAGGCUAUUUUAGCAGCAAACUGGUUGAUACAGCUACUCGUUCCCUACCUUUAUCUAAGUACCACACAAGCAGACAAGCAGUGGUACCCAUAGCAUGGACACAAGGUUGCUACAUGCGUUUUGUGCGGUCUUUGGCAUUUUAGGGACUAGCUUGGUAUUGUUGUUGUUGAAUCAGAAGAAUAACAUUUUAUCUCUGCCGCUCUAAAACCUUGAUAGCAUCAAUAAAAUGUAAUCAGAACC